UAGCAAGUCCAAUGCAGAAGGUGAGUGAU
rnacentral:piRNA from 1 species